AACGAACGCUGGCGGCGUGGCUAAAACAUGCAAGUCGAGCGAGAAAGUUCCCUUCGGGGAGCGAGUACAGCGGCGGAAGGGUGAGGAAUACAUGGGUAACGUACCCCUGGCUUAGGGAUAGCUGCGGGAAACUGCAGGUAAUACCUGAUAAGACCACGGUGUCAUAAGACACUGCGAUCAAAGGUGGGGAUCCCUUCGGGGACCUAUCGGCCGAGGAGCGGCCCAUGGCCUAUCAGCUUGUUGGUGAGGUAAUGGCUCACCAAGGCAUCGACGGGUACCGGGACUGAGAGGUUGGCCCGGCACAUUGGGACUGAGACACUGCCCAGACUCCUACGGGAGGCUGCAGUAACGAAUAUUCCGCAAUGGGCGAAAGCCUGACGGAGCGACGCCGCGUGUGGGAAGAAGCCCUUCGGGGUGUAAACCACUGUCAGGGGUUACCAAGCAAUGGGGACGAAUACUCCCCG
rnacentral:rRNA from 1 species